GCUCCAAUAGCGUAUAUUAAAGUUGUUGCAGUUAAAAAGCUCGUAGUUGAAUUUCGGGAUCAAAGAAUCGGUCAUGCCUUGGUAUGUACUGGUUUUAUUGGUUCUCACCUUCUAAAGAACCAUGAUGUCAUUCAUUUGAUGUUAUGGGGAAUUAGGACUGUUACCUUGAAAAAAUUAGAGUGCUUAAAGCAAGCUUACGCUUGAAUACAUUAGCAUGGAAUAAUGAAAUAGGACAUCAGAUUCUAUUUUGUUGGUUUCUAGGAUCGAUGUAAUGAUUAAUAGGGAUAGUUGGGGGCAUUAGUAUUCAAUUGUCAGAGGUGAAAUUCUUGGAUUUAUUGAAGACUAACUACUGCGAAAGCAUUUGCCAAGGAUGUUUUCAUUAAUCAAGAACGAAAGUUAGGGGAUCGAAGACGAUCAGAUACCGUCGUAGUCUUAACC
rnacentral:rRNA from 1 species